rnacentral:rRNA from 1 species
AGGAUGAACGCUGGCGGCGUGCCUAACACAUGCAAGUCGAACGUCCUGUCUCGCAAGAGGCAGGGAGUGGCGGACGGGUGAGUACCACGUGGGUUAUCUACCGUGAGGUGAGGAAUACCGGCGAGAAAUCGCCGACAAGACCGCAUAGCCUCGAUGUAAGUCGAGGAAAGCUCGCUCGCAAGAGGGAGCGCCACACGAGGAGCCUGCGCCCGAUUAGCUGGCUGGUGGAGUAAUGGUUCACCAGGGCGACGAUCGGUAGCUGGUCUGAGAGGACGAUCAGCCACACUGGGAUUGAGAACGGCCCAGACUCCUACGGGGGGCAGCAGUGAGGAAUUUUCGUCAAUGGGGGCAACCCUGAACGAGCAACGCCGCGUGCAGGAAGAAGGUUUUCGGAUCGUAAACUGCUUUUCGUCGGGGAAGAGAAUGGACGGUACCCGAGGAACGAACGCCCCGGACUAACGUACGCGCCAGCAGCCGCGGUAA